rnacentral:rRNA from 1 species
AGAGAGUUCAAGAGUACGUGAAACCGUUCAGGGGUAAACGGGAGAAAUCCUGAAAUUCGAAGGGGUAUGGAUACAGCUACAUCUGUGAUGCACUGAGUGGGACCCGUCGCGCGCAGACGCGGCCGGGCGCCCGCCGCGAGCAAUCGCGAGCGGUGUCGUCCCGGCCGUCGCUCGGCGCGGCGACCCCGUAUCAGGAGUAGUGCAUGUCCUGCCUCGGUAGAAUCGUCGCGACCCGUUGGGUGCCGGCCUCAAGGCCCGGGCAGGCAGACCGCGCGUCCCGCGGGGGGUUUCCCCGCGGGCGGGCGGACUCCCGGUGUCCCGGCCGGCUGCCCGACGGUAGGACCAGAGGAGUCGGUCCGCUGGAGGAAACACUGUGGUUGUGUAGCGUCCGGCCNGGCGUCGUGGCCUGCGGGGAAAUGGUCCAGACCGGGGGUGUCCGUGCGUCGCACGGUCCCGGCCCCGCAGCGUCCACGUGCGUCCGGUGCCCUCGGACGGGACCGACGACUCCCGUCCGCGGCGUCAUCUUCGGAUGG